rnacentral:lncRNA from 1 species
UCGCCCCACCGUGGUUCUCUCUCUCUCUCUCUCUCUCUCCCCACAGAGACAGAAGAAAAUGGGAUAAGUGGUUUUCCUUUUUUUCCAUUGCCAUUACGUAGUUACCCUCAUUGGAUUAGAUGGUCCCUAGCAAGUAAGAAUUCUGGGUAUUGUUAGUUUCGUAGCAUUGGAUUGGUCUGCCCAUGAAGCUCUUAACCCUACUGUGAUGGAUUGGCAGUGGUUGCAGGAAUUUUCAUUAAUCAGCCGAACAUGGCAUUUUUUAAGGAACUAUUGAUCAUAUUAUUAAGGCUUUCAUUAAUUUUUGGAUGAUUUAUGGAACCAUGGAUAAGAUGGUAGAUGGUAUUGUGAAUAGUUUGUAGCCUCUACAUGGAACAAUAGUUUCUGCCUUUCAUUCUCAUGUAGAAACUUGAGAGGCACUUAUGUAGGGCUAGUUAAUACUUCUGUGGGGUUCACUAUUUUCUCUAGUGUACUCAUUCAUGUUUGGGGCCAGUCAUUUGUUCUAACAGUUAGGGGGUGACAAAACUAUAAUCUCCAUAUUCAUCCUUAUUCUUUUCUCGUCACUUCUUCCUCAACUUUUUAUACUCAUGGUUCUUCUUUACAUUUUGUAUUCCUCUCUCUCCCUCUCUCUCUCUCUCUCUCUCAAUGAGGUUGUCUAUGAUGCAGCAGUGAAAGAUAUCAAAAUCAGUAUCAAAAUUCAUAUCCCAAUUUACCAAGCAAGAAAGUAUCACUCAAGUAACAGUUAUAUGGUGGGUGUGAUUGUUAUUAGAUUUGGGAAUGUUGUGUAAGCUUUCCUCAUAUUUGCUGGCCUAGUUGCAAUUGAACUUGAAUCAUCGUUUAGUUUAUUAAAUUAGUGUCAGUGUUUCAAAAACGCCAUAGGGGGGGGUCUAGGCUGCCUAACGCCUAGGCGGGUGCCUAAAACCUUGGCGACCCAGUAUAAUCUUUUUUUUUUUGGGUCUCUAAAAUAGCCUUUAAUGAGUUUUAGGUUUCAAGUGAACCUAAAACCCACAAUUUUGCCUCUUUAUUAUUACAAAAAUUACCCAAAAAUACCCUCUAGAAGCUUCAAUUCCGCCCUUGGGCGGCUGCCUUGGUGGGUUUAGGCAGCCGCCUAGGGAAAUCCGCCUAGGCGGCCGCCCAAGCACUGGUCGAUCCGCUUUUUCAGACAUUGAAUAGUGUGACAGGCCUACUUGUAAAUGAAAGCAGAUUCUAGUGCACAAUGUCUAUUAUUUAGAACAUAAUUGCCGUUGAAAUUACUUACUUUAUUUACGGGAUGUUAACUGGUGUGAAUAGUUAUUGGGCUGUUUCUUUUGAUGAUUGUGUGAUAGUGUCAUUCAUAAAGUUGUGUUCUACAUGGGCGUCGGUGGGAAGAGGGCACUUUCAUCUACAAGACUGUACAAUAUUGAGUAAAGUGUACUUCUCAAUCUUACAUGUAUAUUUCUUUCUCCUCAUAAAAAAAGGAGUACUCAAUCUUACAUGUUGUAUAUUUUGUUCUCCUCAUAAAAAAGGAGUAAACGUGUAAUCAUAGUAAGAUGUACUCAUCAAUCUUAAUAUACUCUAUUUGAAUCAAAGGCAAUUUUGUUA